GGUGUUGUGGCUCAAGUGGUAGAGUGCUCAUCUUGCACAUGCGAGGCAUGGGGUUCAAUCCUCAGCACCA
rnacentral:tRNA from 1 species